UGAAAAAUUACAUUUCAGUUUCUAGUUUAGAGCUCUGUCUGUGAUUUAUACUUCAUUUAUUUUACAACAAAACAUGAUUUUAUAAUUGUCUCGACGAGCAGCUUAACAUGGAUUUACUAGUUUAGAUAACCCAGAUCAAGCUCUCAACUGAUGGGAUGCAGGAUCAGAUAUUCACCGGCUCCCUCUCGAGGAGUAUCUGGACAGUGAGAUGACUUCUGUUGGAAUGGAUCUACAACGAUGACUUUUUGUAGAGCUCAACUCCAGUCCCGGGACCCACAGUGCUGCACAUUUUGUUUGUCUCUCUAAUCCGACAGAUUGUUUAAACAUUAAACAAGGGAGACAAACCGAGUAAAAUAUGGACCAGAAUCAAGAAAUACAGGUUUGCAGGCAAACAGAAUCAUAGGAGAAGGUCCACCCAUGAGGAUGAGUGUCUUCUGGAGGUGGAGGAAGGGGGUUCUUAACUGCUGUUUAUGGGUCUGUCCCAAUACACACACUUGUGGUCUAGGCCACUUUAAGCUCAUUGUCCUUCAUGGACACUAUAUUCACAUCUCUAACACUGCAUCAGGGCAGUAUUUAAGGUUAAGCAUAACCCAUCAAAAUCAAGAGAAGAAAAACAGUGUGUGUAAAAUUAUUUUUAUAUUUAUAUUUAAUUUGGUAG
ensembl:lncRNA